AUGACCCAGUCAGCAAGGUUUCUGGGUGGAGCAGCAGCGAAUGACAGACAUGGAUGUGUGGGUGACACAGCUGCUCCGAGCUGUGCCUCUAUCCCCGGAAGGAGCUGUAGGGCGUGGGACCUGCCCCUUGACCGUCAGCAGGAACCACAAGCUGUGAGCUGCUCCCCCAGUUGCAGCAGUGACUUCUGUGGAGUAAGGCUGAGUUGGCCAGCUGUUAGGGUUAGGGUUAGGGUUAGGGUUAGGGUUAGGGUUAGGGUUAGGGUUAGGGUUAGGGUUAGGGUUAGGGUUAGGGUUAGGGUUCACUCCCUGAAUGGCUGCAACAGCCAGAGCUGGGCUGAUCCAAAGCCUGGAGCCAGGAGCUUCUUCCAGGUCUCCCAUGUGGGUGCAGGGGCCCAAACACUUGGGCCAUCUUACUGCAGAGAAAUGCCAUCAGCAGCCGCUGUGCAAGGUGGCUACAGAGCGAUGCUGGAGAAGCCUCAGGAGAAAGAAUCCUGCAGGCUUUGCCUUGGUGGGUGGUGCUCCGCGGGCCCCCACAGAGGCCCUGCAGUGGAUCCCGGGAAGGACCAAGAUAUAAGGGGCUGCCGAGUUGCCAGUGAGAGCCCCUGCAGCUCAGACAGCCCAGGGCCUCCCCAUUCUCCUCUCACCCAUCCGCCCUCCACAUUGGCACCACUGAGAAGGAAUGGGUUCUGUUUUAUUCACUCCUACUGCAGAAGAAAAAUAGCUUCCUUUUGCCAGGGGACCACAGAGCGGGAAGCCCCAAAUCUAGAAUUGACCCAGCUUGCUACAAAGAACCCAAAUUCCAGUCCUGCCUGCAGAUGGCAAGCAGCCCCCACUGCUGGGGCCAGGUGUUUGUGCCUGCGCUGUCCAGCAGGGGCUCACCUUCCAGGCCCGCCACUGGCUGGCUGCUUCUGCCAGGAAGUCCAGCCCUUCGCGUCAUGGGCAUCAGAGCAGGACACCAUGAUGGAAAGCCUGGGUGAUCACCAGGUUUCUGGAAGACUCCAGGUGGCUGGCCAGCUUUUGAUGAGCGACAGCUUCCCCAGGUGUUGUUACUUAUCUGUAUCUAUACUAAGUGAAGAGGACGUUACACCAGAAAGGGUCAGGUUGACCAUUUGA
rnacentral:lncRNA from 1 species